AGUGAACGCUGGCGGUAGGCCUAACACAUGCAAGUCGAACGGCAGCACAGUAAGAGCUUGCUCUUACGGGUGGCGAGUGGCGGACGGGUGAGGAAUACAUCGGAAUCUACUUUUUCGUGGGGGAUAACGUAGGGAAACUUACGCUAAUACCGCGUACGACCUACGGGUGAAAGCAGGGGAUCUUCGGACCUUGCGCGAUUGAAUGAGCCGAUGUCGGAUUAGCUAGUUGGCGGGGUAAAGGCCCACCAAGGCGACGAUCCGUAGCUGGUCUGAGAGGAUGAUCAGCGACACUGGAACUGAGACACGGUCCAGACUCCUACGGGAGGCAGCAGUGGGGAAUAUUGGACAAAGGGCGCAAGCCUGAUCCAGCCAUACCGCGUGGGUGAAGAAGGCCUUCGGGUUGUAAAGCCCUUUUGUUGGGAAAGAAAAGCAGCAGGUUAAUACCCCGCUGUUCUGACGGUACCCAAAGAAUAAGCACCGGCUAACUUCGUG
rnacentral:rRNA from 1 species